rnacentral:lncRNA from 1 species
GAGGCCUACUGUGUGCAGGGCAGGGGUCCUCAGGGGCCGGGAAGGGAGGCAAUGUGGCCGGGGGCCACUCUGCAAAACCAGGCUUUCUCACUACUCUUCCACCCGAGACCUCUCUCCACCCAGCCACCCUCCAAUGAUCCAGCUCUUUGGACGCAGGGAGCCGACAAGGCUUCUCAGCGUUUUCCUGGAACUCAACGUGGAGGCGGCACGAGGGCGCUCCACAAAUGCGGGUAGAACGAAUGAAUGAACUACUACGCGGCAGGCUUAAAGAAAAGAGAAAGUGCACCCCAGGAAUCGCCGCAGCUUCACCGCCCGACUUCUCCAACCCCGAAGCCCGGGGAAGAGAGCAUCUCCGCAGGGCGAAGAAGCUGCUUCUGACCUGGACAGGAAGGAAGUUUGCCUUUCCAAUCCUAUUUGUCCUUUCGCUCCCUCUUUGAGUUCUCACUCUGAGAUCCGGUCCACAGCCUGCCCGCGUCCUGCCCGGACAAGCCCCACGUGGGCUGGCUCCUAGCUGAUCCUCCAGGUCUGACCCCAGAGGGGUCACGCAGGCCGCGCCUCAGCGGCCGGCCGGCCGAGGGGGGCGCUCCCCCCAGGUCUGGGGCGCGGCGGGAAGUCCUCGCCCGCCAGCGGGGUCAAGCGGGUCACCCCCUGCUGCCAACCGGCGCCGGCGCCUCCCGGCCCGUCCCACCUCCCCGCCCAGCUCCCGGGGCCGGGGCCGGAGCCGAAGCCGGAGCCGGGCGAUCGGAACCGGCGCGGGCUCACCUGGGCGGCCGAGCUCAAGCAGGGGCUCACCCUGGUCUGCGAACACCCGACUGCCUGCUCUGAACGCCCUGUGCUCUCCGGUAUCUACACAGGUUUGUCUUUGGAGACGCCAGCACCUGGCCAGCCCCAAGCGAGACCGCGAGGAGAGCUGCCCACGCACCCGGGACCUUCCCACGAGCCUGGAAGCUCUCCCAGAAGUCAACUUGAGCUCAAGUGAGAACAGCGGCGUCGCUCAGAAAUGGCCAGAGAACAGGAAAGAAAGCAGAAACCGGCUCCCUCCAAAAGGGGGAAAUUGGACUCCAGGUGGUGCUGUCUGCCGUGGUUUCCACUGUGGCACCACAGCCGAGGCCCAGGGGGAUGGAGCUGGAAGGGGUGGGCCCAGAGCCAGCAGAUAACCAACCAGUGGCCGCAGGAAAUGCAGCUAGCUGCUAAAGGUAGACAAGUCCUAAUGGAGAAAAGCACUGGUGGGCAGUAGUAACACAUCUCGGCAUUGUGCCCAUUAUACAGAUAUGGAAACCAGGUCACAGAGUAGUUAAGUCACUGGCUGAAGGUCACACGGUGACUAGUGAUGGAUCUGGAUUUGAACUCCGGAAGCCAAGCUAUGUGCAAUACUCAAACCUUAGCCAAUGGUGGCAAAUCUAUGGCACGGGUGCUGCCGUGGGCUGUUCGUUACCACUGAAAUUUCUAAAGGUUCCCUAUUACUGGUCCUAGGUCCUUGUUACUCUUAAUUGUGCCUAGAGUUGUCAGGUUAAUAAAAAUUCAAGAUGUGUAUGAGGAUACGAUUAGACUGAAAGUCUUUGUUUUUAAAUCUGAAGUUCAAAUUGAAUGUCUUGACUAGGUGUGGGGUGCUUGAGGCCUUUUAGUCUUCCUUAGACAUCCCAGAUUAAUCGAGAGUUUAAAUAAACCGGAAAAAUCCUCAAGCUCACUUGGGGCCCCAUGGUGCUGGCUGAUUCUGCAGUACAAUGUCAUGUUUGCUGUUUCUCCCACAAAAUAUUGGGGUUCCUGCCCUUUUGUGCUCUCAGAAGGGAGGUCAGACCCAGUGUGUUGCUUGCUGUACCAUAGAUGUACGCUGCAGGCCAUGGGUCUAAUUGAUAACUGUCUAGCAUUGGCCAUUAGAAGGUAAAGAGGAACAGGUGGAAUUGGUUUAAUAACAGCCUAACCAACAUACGCCAGGUGUCAUCUCUGCAGAAUAUAUUCAAUAUAAAAAUUAUUGGCACAAUCUCU